UACAGAGGGUGCGAGCGUUGUCCGGAAUCACUGGGCGUAAGGGGCGCGUAGGUGGCGCGACAAGUCAGUGGUGAAAGUUCGACGCUCAACGUCGAAUCGGCCACUGAUACUGUUGGGCUUGAGCACUGUAGAGGCUAAUGGAAUUCCGGGUGUAGCGGUGGAAUGCGUAGAGAUCCGGAAGAACACCGGUGGCGAAGGCGGUUAGCUGGGCAGUUGCUGACACUGAGGCGCGACAGCGUGGGGAGCAAACAGG
rnacentral:rRNA from 1 species